rnacentral:tRNA from 1 species
GAGGAGUUAGUUAAAAUAUAAUAACAUCAGAAUGUCAAACUGAAGUAAUCGAAAAGAUACCCCUCU